rnacentral:rRNA from 1 species
GAUGAACGCUGGCGGUGUGCCUAAUACAUGCAAGUAGAACGCUGAAGGAGGAGCUUGCCCUUCUGGAUGAGUUGCGAACGGGUGAGUAACGCGUAGGUAACCUGCCUGGUAGCGGGGGAUAACUAUUGGAAACGAUAGCUAAUACCGCAUGACAACAGUUAUUGCACGAUAACCGUUUAAAAGGGGCAACUGCUCCACUACCAGAUGGACCUCCGUUGCAUUAGUUAGUAGGUGAGGUAAGGGCUCACUAAGGCGACGAUCCUUAGCAGACUAGAGAGGGGGUCGGCCACACUGGGACUGGGACCCCGCCCCGGCUCCCUCGGGAGGCAGCAGUAGGGGAACUUCGGCCAUGGGCCGAAGGCUGACCGGGCAACGGCGCCUGGGUGGAGGAAGUUUUCGGAUCGUAAAGCUCUUUUGAAAGGGGAGAACGAGAGUGAGAGUUGAAAGUUCACACUGUGACGGUAUCUUACCAGAAAGGGACGGCUAACUACGUG